rnacentral:rRNA from 1 species
AGUGAACGCUGGCGGUAGGCCUAACACAUGCAAGUCGAACGGCAGCACAGUAAGAGCUCGCCCUUACGGGUGGGGAGUGGCGGACGGGUGAGGAAUACAUCCGAACCUAUUUUUUCGUGGGGGAUAACGUAGGGAAACCUACGUCAAUACCGCAUACGACCUACGGGUGAAAGCAGGGGAUCUUCGGACCUUGCGCGAUCGAAUGAGCUGAUGUCGGAUUUGCUAGUUGGCGGGGUAAAGGCACACCAAGGCGACGCUCCGUAGCUUGUCUGAGAGGAUGAUCAGCCCCACUGGAACGGGGACGCGGUCCAGACCCCUACGGGAGGGCGCAGAUGGGAAUGUUUGACAAUGGGCGAAAGCCUGAUCCAGCCAUGCCGCGUGGGUGAAGAAGGUGUUCGGUGUGGAAAGCGCUUUUGUUGGGAAAGAAGGGCAGCAUGUUAAUACCCCGCUGUUGUGACGGUACCAGAAGAAUAAGCACCGGCUAACUUCGUG